GAGGGUAUAUCUGAGUGGUAGAGUGCAUGCCUAGCAUGCAUGAGGUCCUGGGUUCAAUUCCCAGUACCUGCA
rnacentral:tRNA from 1 species